GUUAUAUCUUCAGUAGCACAUAUACUAGAAUUGGAACAAUACAGAGAAAAUUGGCAUGCUUCUUUGCAAGGAUGACAAGAAAAUUCGUGAAGCAUUCCAUAUUUUA
rnacentral:snRNA from 1 species